GACGUAGGUGGCGAACGUUAUCCGGAAUUAUUGGGCGUAAAGGAUGCGUAGGCGGACAUUUAAGUCAGAUGUGAAAUACCCGAGCUUAACUUGGGUGCUGCAUUUGAAACUGGGUGUCUAGAGUGCAGGAGAGGUAAGUGGAAUUCCUAGUGUAGCGGUGAAAUGCGUAGAGAUUAGGAAGAACACCAGUGGCGAAGGCGACUUACUGGACUGUAACUGACGCUGAGGCAUGAAAGCGUGGGGAGCAAACAGG
rnacentral:rRNA from 1 species